CCCAGACUCCUACGGGAGGCAGCAGUGGGGAAUAUUGCACAAUGGGGGAAACCCUGAUGCAGCGACGCCGCGUGAGUGAAGAAGUAUUUCGGUAUGUAAAGCUCUAUCAGCAGGGAAGAAGCAAGACGGUACCUGACUAAGAAGCCCCGGCUAACUACGUGCCAGCAGCCGCGGUAAUACGUAGGGGGCAAGCGUUAUCCGGAUUUACUGGGUGUAAAGGGAGCGUAGACGGUAUGGCAAGUCUGAAGUGAAAACCCAGGGCUUAACCCUGGGACUGCUUUGGAAACUGUUAGACUAGAGUGCUGGAGAGGUAAGUGGAAUUCCUAGUGUAGCGGUGAAAUGCGUAGAUAUUAGGAGGAACACCAGUGGCGAAGGCGGCUUACUGGACAGUAACUGACGUUGAGGCUCGAAAGCGUGGGGAGCAAACAGGAUUAGAUACCCUAGUA
rnacentral:rRNA from 1 species